rnacentral:tRNA from 1 species
AAGACUUUAAGUUAAUUAAACUCUAGGCCUUCAAAGCCUGAAAUGGGUUAUUAAGCCCAAGUCUUG